rnacentral:piRNA from 1 species
UGGUCCAGUAGAAAGGUGCACGUGUGUGGUU